AUUGAACGCUGGCAGCAUGCCUUACACGUGCAAGUCGAACGGCAGCACGGGUGCUUGCACCUGGUGGCGAGUGGCGAACGGGUGAGUAAUACAUCGGAACGUACCUUAUCGUGGGGGAUAACGCAGCGAAAGCUGUGCUAAUACCGCAUACGCCCUGAGGGGGAAAGCGGGGGAUCGAAAGACCUCGCGCGAUUAGAGCGGCCGAUGCCUGAUUAGCUUGUUGGUGGGGUAAAAGCCCACCAAGGCGACGAUCAGUAGCUGGUCUGAGAGGACGAUCAGCCACACUGGGACUGAGACACGGCCCAGACUCCUACGGGAGGCAGCAGUGGGGAAUUUUGGACAAUGGGGGCAACCCUGAUCCAGCAAUGCCGCGUGAGUGAAGAAGGCCUUUGGGUUGUAAAGCUCUUUUGUCAGGGAAGAAACACCGGCUCUAACACAGUCCGGGAAUGACGGUACCUGAAGAAUAAGUACCGGCUAACUACGUGCCAGCCGCCGCCGUAA
rnacentral:rRNA from 1 species